rnacentral:rRNA from 1 species
AGGAAAGUAGAACUUGAUGAGGUAAUUGUACCUUCUCCUGAACUGGAAAGUAGUUUAUCACAGAAAUCAGUUCUAGUGAUUCCUACACCAAUUAGUGAUGAAGCUAAUGAUGAUGAUCAUGAAACUUCAGAUCAAGUUACUACCGAACCUCAUAGGUCAACGGGAGUACGAUCCACACCAGAGUGGUAUGGUAAUCCUAUUCUGGAAGUCAUGUUACUAGACCAUGAUGAACCUAUGAACUAUGAGGAAGCGAUGAUGAGCCCAGAUUCCGCGAAAUGGCUUGAGGCCAUGAAAUCUGAGAUGGGAUCCAUGUAUGAGAACAAAGUGUGGACUUUGGAGAAGCUUGUAUUUACAAGAAAGUGA